AACGAACGCUGGCGGCAUGCCUAACACAUGCAAGUCGAACGAUGCCUCCGGGCAUAGUGGCGCACGGGUGCGUAACGCGUGGGAAUCUGCCCUUGGGUUCGGAAUAACUCGCCGAAAGGCGAGCUAAUACCGGAUGAUGACGUAAGUCCAAAGAUUUAUCGCCCAAGGAUGAGCCCGCGUAGGAUUAGCUAGUUGGUGGGGUAAAGGCCCACCAAGGCGACGAUCCUUAGCUGGUCUGAGAGGAUGAUCAGCCACACUGGGACUGAGACACGGCCCAGACUCCUACGGGAAGCAGCAGUGGGGAAUAUUGGACAAUGGGCGAAAGCCUGAUCCAGCAAUGCCGCGUGAGUGAUGAAGGCCUUAGGGUUGUAAAGCUCUUUUACCCGGGAUGAUAAUGACAGUACCGGGAGAAUAAGCUCCGGCUAACUCCGUG
rnacentral:rRNA from 1 species